CGUUGCCCUGGGUUACCAUCAGCACCAUCAGGUGUAUCCACCUCCCCAAGUUCUUUGUAAAAUUCACUGAGUGCGUCAUCAAUGUCAGCCUUGACUGGUUUUGGAGGUAAUGCAGGGCCGAUGAAGGUGGAGCAGUUAUAGAAGCUGGGCUGUGUGUUGGCAGACCUGCAGAGGUGACAGAGCUCAGGCCACAAGACUGGAUUAAACAUGAAAGUUUCUCCUCAGCUGUCCGAUAAAAGUCCCAUUGACCCUGAAAUGUGGAACAGAAAUCAAACCUAGAUUCAAGGACGUGGAGGAAAAGUAAAUAAAAAUAGAGCUUAUCGCGCUUAAUAUGAGUAAA